GACGAACGCUGGCGGCGUGCUUAACACAUGCAAGUCGAACGUGAUUUUUGUGGAAAUUCUUUCGGGAAUGGAAAUGAAAUGAAAGUGGCGAACGGGUGAGUAACACGUGAGCAACCUACCUUACACAGGGGGAUAGCCGUUGGAAACGACGAUUAAUACCGCAUGAGACCACAGAAUCGCAUGAUAUAGGGGUCAAAGAUUUAUCGGUGUAAGAAGGGCUCGCGUCUGAUUAGCUAGUUGGAAGGGUAAAGGCCUACCAAGGCGACGAUCAGUAGCCGGUCUGAGAGGAUGAACGGCCACAUUGGAACUGAGACACGGUCCAAACUCCUACGGGAGGCAGCAGUGGGGAAUAUUGCACAAUGGGGGGAACCCUGAUGCAGCGACGCCGCGUGAGCGAAGAAGGUUUUCGAAUCGUAAGGCUCUGUCCUAUGAGAAGAUAAUG
rnacentral:rRNA from 1 species